UACGUAGGGGGCUAGCGUUGUCCGGAAUCAUUGGGCGUAAAGAGCGCGUAGGCGGUUCGAUAAGUCUGCUGUGAAAGUCCAGGGCUCAACCCUGGAAUGCCGGUGGAUACUGUCGGGCUAGAGUACGGAAGAGGCGAGUGGAAUUCCUGGUGUAGCGGUGGAAUGCGCAGAUAUCAGGAGGAACACCAAUAGCGAAGGCAGCUCGCUGGGACGUUACUGACGCUGAGGCGCGAAAGCGUGGGGAGCAAACAGG
rnacentral:rRNA from 1 species